GUCCGAUACAGCCGAGGCUGCAUUCGCCAAACUCAAGAGCCGCUUUGUUUCGGCUCCCAUCCUCAUAGCUCCCGAUCCCUCGCGUCAGUUCGUGGUGGAGGUGGACGCUUCAGAGGUGGGGGUAGGUGCGGUACUUUCCCAACGUUCCUCUUCUGACGACAAGAUGCACCCUUGCGCGUUCCUUUCCCAUCGGUUAUAACCUGCGGAACGCAACUACGACAUUGGCAACAGAGAGUUGUUGGCAGUGAAGUUAGCACUGGAGGAUUGGCGCCAUUGGUUAGAGGGUUCGGGGGUACCUUUUAUAGUUUGGACCGAUCACAAAAAUUUGGAAUAUAUCAGAACCGCCAAGCGACUCAACUCCAGGCAGGCGCGGUGGGCACUCUUUUCGGACGUUUUGACUUCUCUCUCUCGUAUCGCCCGGGUUCCAAGAAUGUCAAACCCGAUUCCCUUUCUCGCAUUUUUGACCAUUCCGAACGCCCAUCCACUCCCGAGUGCAUCCUACCCGGGACCCUAGUGGUCUCCACACUCACAUGGGAGGUUGAAUCGAGGGUCAAAACGGCCUUAGAAGGGGUAACGCCUCCGCCCGGUUGCCCGCCUAAUCGGUUGUUUGUGCCGGAGGGGUGUCGGUCCGAUGUUAUUCGGUGGGGGCACUGCUCCAACGUAGCGUGUCAUCCAGGAGUCAGCCGCACUAGCUUUUGGUUAAGCAACGCUUUUGGUGGCCACUGAUGGCUCGUGACAUUCACAGUUUUGUCUUGGCUUGCUCGGUUUGUGCCACUGGGAAGACUUCUAAUCGACCCCCAGAUGGGUUACUCCAACCGCUGUCGGUCCCUUCGAGACCCUGGUCCCACAUCGCGCUAGAUUUUGUUACCACCCUCCCGCCCUCCCAGGGCAAGACGGUUGUUUUGACCGUGGUGGACCGGUUCUCGAAGGCGGCUCAUUUUAUUCCCUUGCCUAAAUUACCAUCUGCCAAGGAGACAGCGGUAACUGUCGUGGAUCACGUCUUUCGCUUACAUGGCCUGCCGAUGGACGUAGUUUCUGACAGGGGGCCCCAAUUUGUGUCCAAGUUUUGGCAAGAGUUUUGUAGGUUACUGGGAGCGAGUGUCAGCCUGUCUUCAGGGUUUCAUCCCCAGAGCAACGGUCAAACGGAGAGGGCCAACCAAGAUUUGGAGAGAGUGUUGCGAUGUUUGGUUUCUAAGAAUCCCUCUUCCUGGAAUCAACAACUCUCUAUGGUUGAGUACGCUCACAAUUCGUUGCCAGUGGCAGCCACGGGUCUCUCUCCGUUUGAGUGUAGUUUAGGUUACCAGCCACCUAUCUUUCCCAGUACGGAGUCCGAGGUCACUGUUCCCUCCGCUCACGCUUUCAUCCAGAGGUGCCGUCACGCAUGGAGCAGAGCCCGUGAGACUCUUCUCCGGGUGGGGGCGCGCACCAAGGCUAAGGCCGAUCGCCACCGGUCGAAGCCUCCGGUAUACGUCAUUGGUCAAAGAGUGUGGCUUUCUACUAAGAACAUUCCACUCCGAUCCGUUUCGAACAAGCUUGCCCCCAAAUUUAUCGGCACGUUCAAAGUCACCAGGAUCAUUAGUCCGGUGGCGGUCCGGCUCAAGCUUCCUCCGGCGUAUAGGAGAAUUCAUCCUACCUUUCAUGUGUCUAAAAUAAAACCUGUGUUUCAGGCACGCAUUAACCCGCCGGUCCCGGUUCCCCCGCCGCCACGACUUGUUGAUGGGGAACCCACCUUUUCUGUCAAUCGUAUUUUGGACUCUAGAAGGAGGGGACGCGGAUUCCAGUACCUGGUGGACUGGGAGGGUUACGGCCCAGAGGAGAGAAGUUGGGUGCCUGCUAGGGACAUUCUGGAUCACUCCCUUAUCGAUGAUUUCAAUCGACAGAUCGUUGUUUCUUCCCUGAGGUUGUGUCGUGUGUCCGUGCUCUUCUCUCGCCGCCCUUGUGUGGAUUAUCUGCUGUGCUCCUUCCUACCCAUCCGGACACACUCCCCUGGAUUUCUCAGCACGCUAUCAUCGGAAGAUGCGCCCGAGUCCCUGGGUCGGAUUCCGUCUGAGUACAGUCUGUCUGUCCUGUUGCUGCUGUAAACUGUAUUCAUUAAACCAUCGUUGCUUGCAU